GAUGAACGCUAGCGGCAGGCCUAAUACAUGCAAGUCGGACGGGAUCCAGCGGAGAGCUUGCUCGAAGAUGGUGAGAGUGGCGCACGGGUGCGUAACGCGUGAGCAACCUACGUCUAUCAGGGGGAAAGCCUCUCGAAAGAGAGAUUAACACCGCAUAAUAUAAUCCUCCGGCAUCGUUAGAUUAUUAAAUAUGAAUAGGAUAGAGAUGGCCUCGCGUGACAUUAGCUAGUUGGGAAGGUAACGGCUUACCAAGGCGACGAUGUCUAGGGGCUCUGAGAGGAGAGUCCCCCACACUGGUACUGAGACACGGACCAGACUGCUACGGGAGGCAGCAGUAAGGAAUAUUGGUCAAUGGGCGGAAGCCUGAACCAGCCAUGCCGCGUGCAGGACGACUGCCCUAUGGGUUGUAAACUGCUUUUGUCCAGGAAUAAACCUAAAUACGUGUAUUUAGCUGAAUGUACUGGAAGAAUAAGGAUCGGCUAACUCCGUGCCAGCCGCCGCCGUAAGAC
rnacentral:rRNA from 1 species